GGUAAUGCGGUGCAGGGGGCGGUGGUAAGAGGGAGGGGGGUAGCGUGGAUGGGAAGGACUGGGCGUAAAGGGGGGGUAGGCGGAUGGCGAAGGGGGGUGGGAAAGUCCUGGGCUGAACCUGGGGGUUGCGUUUGGGACGGGGGGACUAGAGUGGGGAAGAGGGUGGUGGAAUUCCCGGUGUAGCGGUGAAAUGCGUAGAUAUUGGGAAGAAUACCGGUGGCGAAGGCGGCGACCUGGACAGUGACUGACGCUGAGGCGCGAAAGCGUGGGGAGCAAACAGGAUUAGAUACCCUUGUAGUC
rnacentral:rRNA from 1 species